rnacentral:lncRNA from 1 species
AUGUUAAGUGCCCCUCGGGGUUGCUAUCACAAUACACAAGUAAACGUUUUGGUGGUGGGAUAUACCAAAGUGACACCAUGUGCGACGAAAAAAACAAAAAUAAUAAAGUAAAGAUAUUUGAUUAAACUAUAUUCUAAAGUUGAUUAAACAAUUUAUUGAUAAUGUAACUUUCAUUGUUUUCUAAUCAAGUUGUAAUUAAACACAUAAAACAAAACAAACGUAUCAGAAAACCGAUUUUGUUUAAAAGCAAGUUGCGUGGUUGGUCAAAAAAGUUAAAAACUAGUGUCAGAAGAAAUUAAAAACUUUACUUGAAUUAAAGUUACUAAAAAAAUAAUAAUAUUGAAUAAUAGUACUUAAUAAUUACUAACGUUUAUUUUUGUAACAAACUUUGUUCGCUUAUGAUUUUCUUUCUAUAUGAACUCAUGAUUAAAGAGAAUAUAAGUAUAUAUAACAAAAUACAUCCAUAAAGUAGCAUGUCCUUUCAAAUUAUUAUUAGAAAUUGUCAUAAUAUAAUUAGAUCUAACCUUAUAAAAAGAAAAAAAAAACAAUGAAUAUGGGAAAAAAAAGGAACAAGAAAUUACCUGAUUGGCAAACCCAAUACCGAAUCCGAGAAGAAUACGACCAACGAUAAGCAUCCAAACAGCCUGAGCAAAACCGUUAAUAAGGGCACCGGCGCAGAACAAGACACCUCCAAAAAGCAUGGAAAGCUUUCGUCCAAGUGUCCGGGUAACAGUCGAUGCGACCAACGAUGACAACAACGCCGCGAGAUACAAGGACGACGUGAACAUGGUCAGUGUCUGACUGUCGAACUUACAAUACUGGUUUGUCGAAUGAUCCGCUGAUUGUUUCCGAUAAACCGAUGGGAAGAACUUCUUUAGAAACGGAUCCAUUGCCGUCACUCCACCUAUUUUUACAAAAAAAAAAUUAUUAUAAAAACAAGAAAUCUUACGAUCAUAAAAUUAAAAAAAAAAAGCGAAAAUUUUAGUUUUCGAGAUCGUAUUAUUAUUAUUAUAAUUAUUUUUUACCGUGAACACCCUUCCUUAAAAUCUACCCUUCCUUAAAAUCUACGUUUAAGUUUUACUUUUAAAAUGUAAAAAAGUAAAAAAAAAAAAAAAUAAUGAUAAUAACCAAGAAAUCAUAUGAUGGUAAAAUACAAAUAAAAAAGUGAAAGUUUCGUUUUACAUAAUACUAUUAUUAUUAUUAUUUUUACUAUGAAUACACACACUUAAAAUCUACUUUUAAAUUCCAUCUAUUUAAAAAAAACAAGAAACCAAGAAAUCACAAGAUCAUAAAAUACACUAAAAAAAGAAGUGAAAACUUCAGUUUCUAAGAUCUUAUUCUAAUUUAAC